rnacentral:rRNA from 1 species
GCAACGCCGCGUGAGCGAUGAAGGCCUUCGGGUCGUAAAGCUCUGUCCUCAAGGAAGAUAAUGACGGUACUUGAGGAGGAAGCCCCGGCUAACUACGUGCCAGCAGCCGCGGUAAUACGUAGGGGGCUAGUGUUAUCCGGAAUUACUGGGCGUAAAGGGUGCGUAGGUGGUUUCUUAAGUCAGAGGUGAAAGGCUACGGCUCAACCGUAGUAAGCCUUUGAAACUGGGAAACUUGAGUGCAGGAGAGGAGAGUGGAAUUCCUAGUGUAGCGGUGAAAUGCGUAGAUAUUAGGAGGAACACCAGUUGCGAAGGCGGCUCUCUGGACUGUAACUGACACUGAGGCACGAAAGCGUGGGGAGCAAACAGGAUUAGAUACCCUGGUAGUCCACGCCGUAAACGAUGAGUACUAGCUGUCGGGGGUUACCCCCUUCGGUGGCGCAGCUAACGCAUUAAGUACUCCGCCUGGGAAGUACGCUCGCAAGAGUGAAACUCAAAGGAAUUGACGG